AAAGUUCUUUUGUAAACAUUAAUGCAAAACUCAACAGAGUAACCUGAAAUCAAAUGUGUGGCUAAACAAGCAUUUAUUCAUGUUUGAACUGUUUUUUUACAUUUUUGUUUGAGUUAUGAACAUGA
rnacentral:lncRNA from 1 species